UUUGGUGAUUGGAGCGGUGAGGAUACACCCGGUAACAUCUCGAACCCGGCAGUUAAGCUCACUAGCGCUGAUGGUACUUGGGGGGCGACCCCCCGGGAGAGUAGGUCAUCGCCAAAG
rfam:Anaerolineaceae bacterium 4572_5.2 ex4572_5.2_scaffold_6205, whole genome shotgun sequence.